GUGACAUAAGUGUUAUUCUUAAACGUUUUAAACUUUUAUAAGAUCAAAGGUGUUACUUAAAAAAUAAAUAUGUCAGAACUCAAUACAUCGAACACACAAGCACGUAAAUAUAAGAUUCCUGGUCUAAAAGAAUUUCGAAAACAGAAAAAAGAUUCGUCCAAAGAGCUUCACCAAAUUCUGGAUGAAACGGAAUUGCUUCAAAUAUACGAGAUAUUCAACCACGAGGAUGGAAGAAGGAUGAACCAAGAACAACUAAAAGAAGUUUUAGCGAAUGUAGCGAAAGUUGAAUAUGCCGAUGAGGUUUUUGAAAGAGAAUAUUUAAGAAUGAAUUCAUCUUGCGACGGUCUUGUAACCUGGAACGAAUUUAUAUCAUAUCUUAUUUUGGGUUUUGAACAGCAAGAGGUUAGUACAGAAUACAAAACCCUAGCCGCUCCCAUACCUACAGGCCCUACUUUAGUAAAAAGCAAUCAUAGACAUACAAUAAAUAGAAUCACUUUUUAUCCUACAGUGAAGCCCGACCGUAGCAGUACAUGGCAUGACGGAAGCAUCAUUACGUGCAGCCAUGACGGUAUCAUUAAUUAUUGGACACUGGAUAUGACACUAGAAAGAACGGUUCAAUCAACUUGCCCAAAUCUAAAAAUUCAGACUACUUGGGUCACGGAUUUGGCUGUGCUACCAGAUGUCAGCGUCAUUUGUACCUCAUCUAGUGAAAGAGAUUUAAGAUUUUAUGAUACAUCAGCUAGAAAAUUCGAAUUGAGAGUAAUAAUCACGUCUUUCGACCAUGCCGUUACUACCAUGUACUACAAAUUCUACGAGGAUGCGGAUAUGGAGUCGAAACUGAUUUUGGGCGAUAUGGGCGGAGGCGUCAAGAUAUUAUUUAUAAAAACUUUCGCCAGAGGUCCCUUUAAAUCGCAACCCGGCAUUCCCUUGCUUCACAUCAGAUGGGAGAAGGUCUUUAAAGGACAUGUUAACAAUUUUAGAGCGUUGGCAUUUCCUCACUUACAUACAGACUAUGUAAGACAAGUUAAUUUCUACCCUACAUUGAACGCUGUGGUAUCCUGUGCACAAUGUCCAAAGGCCGGGUUGCUUAUGACAAGUAUAUCCGAUAAUAACUCCUCAUACACGUACAAAAUCUUGAGUGGAGUAUGGUGUUUUGCAUUGGAAGAAACUAGUCACAUCGUUGGAACAGGAAGUCCCGAUUGCCUGGUGCGCCUAUGGAAUCCCUUCGUCCCUCGUAGACCUACCUGUACAUUUUACGGCCACCACACCGGAAUUGUCCAAAUGGUGAUCCAGGAUCACGGCAAAAAGCUCUACACUUUAUCCAAAGAUAAGUGCAUCAAAAUUUGGGAUAUAUCCCUUCAAUCAUGUCUCCAGACAUAUUUGGAUUUGCCUCCGGAAAGAGCAGAGUUAACUACUCUGUAUAAUCCGGAAUCCAGACAGUGGAUAAUUGGGAGUACCAUGAUAGCGGUGAUUCCCCUUAGUCCGAAACAAAGUAGCGAGCAUACAGAUGGCAGCACGCAUUCCAGUGGCGUGUCGGUGGUUUUGUAUAAUAAAUUAUUUAAGAUAAUUAUAACUUGUGGGUUGGAUAGUUAUAUUAUCGUGUGGAAUCCAUGGGACGGUCGACGUCUGAUGGUUAUCAAAGAAGGCCAUACUAGGAUGUUGCAUGGCGAGAUAAUGAGCGUCGAAAUUACCGCAGCCACAUUUGAUCCAGGAUAUCAAAGAUUAUUAACUGGGGCUCACGAUGGAACCCUUAAAAUAUGGAAUUUCAAUACUGGAACAUGCCUUAGAAAUAUGAACAUAGAAACUUGGUGCGAGGUUCAAUGUGUGAUAUGGGUGAAAAAUAGAAUAUUAGCCAUGGGAUGGAAUAAAAGAGUGACAGAAUUUGCCGACACAGGAGCGGCCGUGGGCCCUGAAGGAGCUUACAGUAAGAAUUGGGACAUGCGACAUUCGGAAGAUAUUAGCGCUGGAGCCGUCAAAGUGCCUGAAUCAUUAGCUACAAGCUCUUAUGUUGGAGAACUACUUCUAUGGCGUUUGGAAACUGGCCAACCGUAUAAGAAAUUUAUCGUGUCCAAUCCGACCGAGCGUAUUAAGAUCCAUUUUACAGUUGAUAAAGUAAGAGACAAGGCGGAUGUGGCAAAGACUUCUAGACAAUCGAUUAUUGACGCCAAAGGAGCACAAGCGGCUGCAAGGGGUAGUAAGGUACAGAGAACGCCAUUGCUACCUCAACAAGAAAACACUCUAUCUGGUGCCAGGGUUAUGAGUCGAAAAGGUCGACUAUCCACCGUGUCCCUGCCCGAGGAAUGCUUUAGCUUGCGCAAGCUGGCCGUGCACUGUAUGCUGUUCCUGAGCGCGAGAAAAAGCGACCCGCAGGUGGGCACGUUGCUGGUGGCCCUGGAGAACGGGGUUAUCCAGGUGUGGAACCAUCACGUGGCCGGUGGGUUCAUCACUUCUUUCUGGGCGGUGCACAAGGCCGGCGACUACAUCAUUUCGAUGACCAGCGACGACAAUAACGAGUUUCUCUUUCUAGGAACGACAGCUGGCUAUAUAAAAACGUGGCUCCUAAAAAAUUACUGCGUGUUACCAGAAGACAUGGAGCAUAUUUGUAUGCCGAAGUACAGACUUAUGUUUCCUUUCAUGUGGGGAGAUAGAUUUGUCGAGCUCGAAGAAUGAUAGCAAAUCAACCAUUUCCAAUACUGCUCAGUAGCUAUAAAGGUCAUUUUAUGCCCGUCUCUGGUUUGACAUAUAUUGAAGACUGCCAAAUCCUGAUAAGUUGUAGUGCAGAUUUUAGUGCUAGAAUGUGGACAUUAGGUGGCAGAUAUCUCCAAACGAUCGGAACUUUCAAGAAAUGGAAGCUAAUUAAUCCUGAAACUAAAAUUCCCGAUGACUUUGAGUAUUCUAUUCCACCA
rnacentral:misc_RNA from 1 species